CGAGGAGGUGAAACUAAAGAAAAACUCUAAAGGUGUCCACCUGUCAGUCUGAGGUCAAGGUUACAACAUGUCCCUCUGCAGGAUGAACAGGCUCUGUUGUCAUGGAAACAGCUGCAGAGAUGUCCCAGCUGUUUCCUGCUGGAGUCAACAGGAAGUGAUCAAUUAUGUGAUCAAUGUUUUGAUUAUUGAUUCCAUCAGUGUUAUUAUGUUUAAUGGAUCAUAAAUGUGAUUUGAAGUGUUAAUAAUAAAUAUUAAUCAUUUAUAUUGA